rnacentral:rRNA from 1 species
GACCUUAGUUGCCAGCAUUCAGUUGGGCACUCUAAGGUGACUGCCGGCUAAAAAGUCGGAGGAAGGUCGGGAUGACGUCAAAUCAUCAUGCCCCUUAUGACCUGGGCUACACACGUGCUACAAUGGUUGGUACAACGAGUUGCGAGUCGGUGACGGCGAGCUAAUCUCUUAAAGCCAAUCUCAGUUCGGAUUGUAGGCUGCAACUCGCCUACAUGAAGUCGGAAUCGCUAGUAAUCGCGGAUCAGCACGCCGCGGCGAAUACGUUCCCGGGCCUU